rnacentral:lncRNA from 1 species
CUUGACUCCUCCAUUAAGGCUCUGAAAAAGUAGAACAGAGAAUACUCCCUUUCCAGUGCAAUCCGAGUUCACUCGGAUCCGCGAUAUGCUAAUGUUUAGAUUAAGCAGAUGGUGAGGAAGGCGGUCGUUAGUUGAGGAUUGUUUUUCUCUUUCUGCAUAUUAUUUCCAAACAAACACUUUAAGAGGUAAGUGUGCUGCCUCCUCCCUUUGCUUCUUCCUGAGUGAAAAAUGAAAGAAAGAAGAGCAGAGCUGCUUGGCUGUGACUGCCAUUCUGUGUGUGCCCACACGUGCCCAGUUAAUUGGGCUGUGGUAAAAAGUGGUUCCAUCGCUUUGAGAUUUUCUUUAGGAUUUCGGAGUGCUGGCAAAACAAAAGAAAGAAAGAAAAAGAAGAGCUCGACGUGGAGUCGAGAGGGAAAUGGGGAGAGCAAAAGAAUUGGAUGAAAUCACAGUUGUAAUGAGGUAUAUCUGCAAUAUGCCCACGUCAAGUUUAACUCUUGAAAGAAAACAGAAGUGAAAGGAAAGACAGGUAGGUGUGACAAAACUGACUGACUCCUACCUCUUGAGUGUUCUACACAAACUCUCUUCCUGUGAGAUGAGCAUUAUGUCUAUUGUACAGAUAUGAGACCUGAAAUCUUGGUAUAUUAAUAGGUGGAGUCAUGUCUGACAAAGAGACAAGUGUCCUGUGCUCUAGAUUUGAAACUCAUCCUGAGUAGUCCCAUAACCAACUCGGGAUGUCACUGUUAUAGAAAAGGAAGAGCAAAUGAAACAACAUCCCUGCCUGGACUCCACCUCAUGAUCCAAUACUCUGACAAGGACCGUUGGACCAAAUCAAUUUGCUAUUCUGAUGACAAUUGAUCCUCAAUGGAAUACCUGGAGGAAGCAUUCUACCACAACAAACUUCUUAGCAACUCCCUGCUUUCAUCUUCAGGCUAUCUAACCCUGGUGGAUCUUAAUCUACCUUCUGUUUAAUUGGUUAUACGGACAUUCUGAACUAUGAGACAUUCCUAAUUAUGUUGCAUUAUACAUGUUUAUCUAAAUCAGUGUGUUUGUCUAGAACACACUACAAGACCUUAAGUAGGUAUCACUUCUAUCAUGCUUCUUUCUGCACAUACUCUCUCAACUGAAUCCUAACCAUAUUCUGACAGUAACUUUCACUAUCUGA